AUGCCGGACGCUUCCUCUUUUUUUUGUGCUAUUCCUCAUCUUGAAAUCCAUGCUGAACACAUGGAAUUCGAUGCUUUACUUCCUCAUUCUAAGUCCAUGUGGACCUCCUCCCAGAAAAAGGUUAAGCACGACCCUGGUUCAGGAGCUGGAAACCUUAUUUCAGUGAGCUCUUUAGACAAUAUUCUACAAGCAGCUAAAGCUGUCGCACUUUUUCCUUCUUCCUUUGCUACCGGGGAUGUGCUCCUAAACCUGGACUAG